UGCUGGGCAGCGGGUCAGGUCACCAGCCAGUGUUUCUGGAGUGCCUGCGGCGUGCCAGGCUCCCUUAGGUGCUAGGGAUAUGAAUAAGAAGGAACUUAAGACAGGGCUCCCACAGGCCCAGGGUUGGGGGCUCUUAAACCAGUGGAGAUGGUUAAUUGCAAGAAAGUGUACUUAGCAGCCCCUGUGCAUUCCUCCCGGGUUCUGUGCGGGCAUGUGGGAGAAAUGUUGAGGCUGGGAGAUGGGAGGGGUGUGUCAGGGCAGCUGUUUUGACAAGUGGCCUUCUGGUGAGUCACCCGGAGUGCACUGGGAGUGAGGGACGUGUAGGGUUGGCGGAGGAGCCUGUGCAUGUUCUGUGGGGAGGGCUCAUGCUGGGGGAGAUGCUGCUGGAUGAGGCCGCACGAGGAAAGGGCUGCGCCUUGGCAAGGGUGCUUGGCUUUUGUCCUGAAACUAGUGAGUGAUCACUGGAGGAUUUUUAGCAUGGCAGGGACAGGGUUAGAUGAGUUUAAAAUGGUUUCAGGCCUCCAUCUGAAGGAUGCAUCUGGUGAGGAGAGACGGAAAGGGAAGGAGGCUGUCUGGUAGGAAGUUGGGGUGGAACAGGUGCGUCCAGCAGGGAGGCUGCACAGUGGGAGUUGCUGCUCAGGAGGGGCACUGGGCAGGCCCGGGUGGGUGGGUGGCUUCCUGUGUGCACAGUGGGGAGUCGCAUGGACCUGCCCUGGCUGGUGGGCUGGUAAGGGAGAAUGACGCACAGGGCAGUGGACUGAGGCAGCUUCAUCUGUGGGUGUUGGAUUCCUGAGUGUGACGUUCCCAUGACAUGGAGCAGGAGACACCUGUUGGCAUCUGUUGGAUGUCUGCUGAAGUCUGAGGACUGGCCUGGGUUGCAGGUGGUUUGCAGGCGUGGGGGUGUCCAGCCCUGACCAUGGGCAUUCUUGUCUUCAGGCGUUGGGAGGUCCAGCCCUGACCGUGGGUAUUCUUGUCUUCAGGCGUGGGGGGGUCCAGCCCUGACCGUGGGUAUUGUCUUCAGGCGUGGGGGGGUCCAGCCCUGACCGUGGGUAUUCUUGUCUUCAGGCGUGGAGGGGUCCAGCCCUGACCGUGGGUAUUGUCUUCAGGCGUGGGGGGGUCCAGCCCUGACCGUGGGUAUUCUUGUCUUCAGGCUUGGGGGGGUCCAGCCCUGACCGUGGGCAUUCUUGUCCUCAGGCGUUGGGGGUCCAGCCGUGACCGUGGGCAUUCUUGUCUUCAGGCGUGGGAGGUCCAGAAGUGGAACCCCCAGGGAGAAGUGACUGCCACAUUUCUCCUUUCAGGGGCUGAUGACGUUAGCCAGAGUCGUUUCAGUGCUGGGCUGGGGGACGCAGAUCAUGUUGGCUAAAGGACAGGUGGCACAGAGCAUGGCGGGAACCAUCUGAGAAGUGGUGUGCCAACGGGAGUAAGGGUGAGGGCAGGGAUGAGGGUGAGACUUGGUCUCAGUCUGGGGAGAGACCGGCGUACUAGCAGCCCAGCUGUCAGGAAGCAGACCCGAGGCCCGGUGUGCUCUGCCUGGACGUGGGCUUGUGUUUGUAGGCCCAGGUGGACGGCACCCACUGGCAGCCCAGGCCCUUCCCUUUGUCACACCUCCUCCUGGCGGUCUUGUUCUUCUAGUCAUGCCGUCCCUGACCCUGAGCAGGCCCAUCUCACCAUUGCCUCUAGAGUGAGGUUACUAGGAAUACUCACUGAACCUUUUUUAAAAUUUAAUUUUAAUUUUUAAAAUUUU